rnacentral:rRNA from 1 species
UGGGGAAUAUUGCACAAUGGGCGCAAGCCUGAUGCAGCCAUGCCGCGUGUGUGAAGAAGGCCUUCGGGUUGUAAAGCACUUUCAGCGAGGAGGAAGGUGGUGAGCUUAAUACGCUCAUCAAUUGACGUUACUCGCAGAAGAAGCACCGGCUAACUCCGUGCCAGCAGCCGCGGUAAUACGGAGGGUGCAAGCGUUAAUCGGAAUUACUGGGCGUAAAGCGCACGCAGCGGUUUGUUAAGUCAGAUGUGAAAUCCCCGGGCUCAACCUGGGAACUGCAUUUGAAACUGGCAAGCUAGAGUCUCGUAGAGGGGGGUAGAAUUCCAGGUGUAGCGGUGAAAUGCGUAGAGAUCUGGAGGAAUACCGGUGGCGAAGGCGGCCACCUGGACGAAG